rnacentral:rRNA from 1 species
AAACUUUCAACAAAGGAUCUCUUGGCUCUCACAUCGAUGAAGAACGCAGCGAAGCGCGAAAUGUAGUGUGAAUCGCAGAACUUAGUGAAUCAUCGAAUCUUUGAACGCACAUUGCGCCUCCCAUCAUCGGGAGGCAUGCCUGUCUGAGCGUCAUUU